rnacentral:lncRNA from 1 species
UUGCUUCCGCGGGUCUCAUGAUAUGACGCAUGGCUUACUUCUUCGGACACAGAUGGGGAUGGAGUCUACAUCCUCGGAGGCUGCCUGAGUGUGGUAGGGAAGAGGCUACCACCACCUGAGUGACUCAAGAGGACUAACAUUCAAAUUCAAUGUAAAAUGCAUGGGUCUGCUUACAAACCAACCAAUCAAACAAACAAAAAAACCCCAACGUAUGAAUGAGUCAAUUAGUAAGUCAUAAAACUCAAGAAAUAUGGAAAUUGUAAGACUGUUCUCCUCCCAUCCCCUGAAAACAAAGCCUCACAGAGGAAUACAACUAAGUUGGUACUAAUGAGAAUGUGAUGAGGAGUUCAACUUUCUGGAAAGUUCCAACAUGGUCAUGGAACUCAAACUGUCUCAUCAUUUCCCCCCACACAACCCUUUUCUGGAAGGUCAUUUUGAACAUUAAGUAAGAUCAUUCCAUACACGGAGAGGUGCGAACUCACUGCUGAAGGCUAAUGGCACUGCCGAUGGACUGUAUAGAGACAUCACUGAGGGUAUACCUGCUCAAAAACCUCAGAGGGUUUGAGGUUCCUCCUUUCAGGAAUAAGGGGAGCCAAGAAGGUUCAGUAAAGAAAGCAGCAUUCAUGAUGAGCCAUUAGGAGGUAGGCAUGAUAAAUAUCUCAGAUAUUACCAGAAAGUCAGGCACUCUAGAAGAAAGCAGGUCCGUCAAGUCUGACAUUUUCUUUGCCCAAUAGAGGUCAAGAAUGGAGCCAGGAGAACAUGUAUGCCUUGAUGCUUAGAGAUAAAAUAUCCUGCGGGGUUCAACUUGGCACUAAUCCAAAAUGACACUGUGGUUCUCAGAGGAACUUGGCAAGCUCUGGAAGACGCCAUUUUAAAACUUAGGCUCAAAUUUAAAUCAUAGGGUUUGUGACUCGGAUCUUCAAUGUGACCUUUAACAGGUAUUGUUCCAGAAAAUGUGGUUGUCACUGUGGAGAGAAAGCACGCACCCCUCUACUCUGGGAAGUAUAAUAAAAUGUGCUCUAUUUUAACAAGCACAGUGCCUGCAACUCACCAGAAGCAAGGAAGACAAAGACUAUUUGCUUUUGUAUCAUUCAUUUAAAAAACAAAUUUAAAUUCACUAAAAAAUUUCACUUGCCUUAUCGCACUAAUGAAUAUUCCUAUCCCUUCUCUGUCUGGACUUGAAUUCGGAAGAACCCUAGCAAGAAUCUUAUCAUUUCUAGAUUAAAAAUACAACUUCGAGGUUGUACUUUGCAUAACCCACUGUCAAGGAUUCACCUAAGCCACACCACCGUGUCCACACCUCACGACUGGACUGAGCAGAAGAGUAAUAGCCAGAGUGGCUUCAGUCCUCUCUCACUAUCUCUGCCUCCUAAACCUGAGAUACUGGCCAAGGAGAGCAUUUUAACCAUCUUCCUUGCCGAUGUGACAUCAGUGAGAUGUGACCGGCUGAGUCUUGAGGACUUCCUUUCUCCAUUCUUAAUGAUGGGGUUAGGGCCCUUACAGGAGCUGCUUCAUUCUGUGUGAGGGAGCCUCCCUUUCUGCAGUUCCCAUGCGAGGACACAACAUCCUCUUGGGAGUAAAGGAAUCCUUACACAGUACAGAUUCCAGUCUGUUUUAUCUUGUUAUAAUAUCUCAAAUGGAAGAAGAGAGCAUUUACAAAACUGGUGGAGCCAUGGGUUCUUCUCAGCCUGUACCUCUCCAUCUCUUGCCAGAUUAAGAGAGGCCAGAGGUUCUUCCUUCUUUCCAUUCUAAGCCAUGACAUCAUUCUUUCUGUAUCACCAUGUACUCUCGGCAGGUUUUCCUUCCAUUGUGUAUAUAUCCACAAAUAAAAAUGAAUGCAUAA